ACUCCGAACAAUAUUUGCCAAUAACUACUGUUCUAUGUCAGAACUUAUUCAGACUAAAACGUGUAAAGAGAUUUAUCAGUUUGCAGCCAAAGAAAACUGUGACCUGCCAGAUUUCCUUGAAGAGCUUAAUAACACUCCGCCAAGGAAAAAGAAAAGAAAACAAAGGUUAUGGUCAAUGCAC